CCCAAUGCCGCGCUGCUCGGCGCCGUGAGGGCUCUCGGCUGCAGAACUGCCGGGCAUUCCCGCCACGCAAGACUUCCACGCCAGGGAGCAUCUCCUUUCCCCAUACCUAUACCCCCACUGUGAUUUCCCAAGGAAAGAAGAGGUCGAUAAUGGAAAGCCUACAAUAGCCCCCUCCCUUGCCUUGUCUGCAGCCCGCCCGGGGAGAAGAGAGAUUUCAGCUCUCCUGGAAAACCGCUGUGUGUGCAGAGCUGCCUUCCUGUGUCCGCAGAGCCGUGCUCGUAAUCAGUCUCAGCCACUACAUCUUGAUGGCACCUGGCAACUCGUGGCAGAAGAGGAAGGAAACUGAUCAUUUCCUGUCAAGAAUGCCCUACUCAGGGGAUGCCAAAGAUUCACAUCUCUUGCAACUCACCGAGUGGGAUGGGACAUGCUAAUAAACAUCCUCGGGUCCCGUUUGUUGCCUGGGAGAAGAGACCAAACCCCUCCUCAUCACAACCUCCCUUCAGGAAGUUGUAGAGUGCAAUGAGGUCUCCCCUGAGCCUUGUCUUCUCCAGACCCCUCACCAGUUUCGUUGCCCUUCUCUGGACAUGUUCCAGGGCCUCAAUGUCGUUCUUGUAGUGAAGGGACCAAAACUGAACACAGUACUCAAGGUGCGGCCUCACCAG
ensembl:lncRNA